UCAUUCAAAUAAAGGUCUGGCUUGGCUGAGGUUGGCUUGCUGUUCUUUUUCCACCUAAGAGGAAGCAUCCACACAAAUGAGAGGAGAUGGAAGGACAGCUGUAGGAAUUCUGUAAAAGACCACAGCUGUCUUCAGGUGAUGAGUCUGGAUCUGCUAGGGAGCAGCCCUGUACAAUGGCACACUUUCUCACAAGGCAAGUGCUGCUGUGUCCCAGGCAAAACUCAACAAACUAACCCUCAGGUUUGUUGUGCAAGGCCUCUAUCCACUCAGCAUCGUUGAGAGACCAGAGGUUAAAGAUUAUCUCCAUGAGUUGGUACCUGGAAGGCAGACACUUGUGAAGAUGGUGGAAGAUGAGUCUGUGCACAUACGCAGAAACCUCUGCACUACUCUCUCAGCAAGAACACAUAGCAACAAAUACUGAUACAUGGUCAACCAACAACAGAAGCUUUUUGGGGGUCACUGUUCGUCGGAUCAACCAAAAAACACUCCAGAUUCAGUCUGAACCUCUUUCUUGCUGUAGAAUCAUAGGGAGACAUACAUUCGAUGUUUUAGCUGGUAUGCUGGAAGACAUACAUAAAGAUUUUAAGAUCAAGCACGAGGUUAGUCUCACAACCACAGACAAUGGGUCUAACUUUGUAGAGGCUUUCCAAGUUUAUGCCAAAAUGCAAGACAGUGAUGAGAGGGAGGAAGAGGAAGAUGACAGAGACCUGAUUUUCACCGAAAUGACAAACAUCAUCAAUGAUCCUGGAGAGGAGGAUUAUCACUUACCACAACACUAGAGAUAUGCCAGUCACACACUGAACCUCGUGGCAACCAAAGAUGCAAAAGAGGCUGCCAAAAUUUCAGAGCCAUUCAAAAAAAAUAUCCAUCCACCCUGUGGAAAUGUCAAGCCCUCUGGAACAAACAGAGCCGCAGCACGCAGGCUCCAGACAUCAUCCAGGAAAUACUUGGAAACCAGUUGGUCAUUCUAAAUGUAACUUGCUGGAACUCGACCUACAACGCCCUGGAGAGACUGAAGAGAAUCACCACAGCAGGAGAAGGAGACCUGGAUGAUGUGUGUGGAAGGCUCCAAACAAGCAGGGAAGACGUGUGACGCAGUGAAUAUGUCACGGUUUGGGUACGUGUUUGAAAGCAUCAAGUGCCUAAUGGCAACUGCGAGCAAUACGUACCAACGAAACGGAAGAGAGGCAUAGAGACACGUCUGAGAGAAGAGGUGAGGUGGCUGCAAACACCCUUCAGCAUCUCCAACAACAGAGGAAGAGGAAACA